CAGAAUCCGUUGGAAGUCUUAAGGCGCUUCAAUCGCUCAACCUUUCGAACAAUCAUCUUACCGGUCCCAUUCCUUCUUUCCUCGGGAACCUGACAAACCUUGAAUCACUGGACCUUUCUCGGAACAAGCUCUCAGGAGUGAUCCCUCAGCAAUUUGUGAAAGAACUAAAUUUCCUUGCAUUCUUAAAUGUCUCAUAUAACCUGCUCAGUGGGCCCAUACCACAAGGAGCGCAAUUUGCUACAUUUGAGAACAAUUCUUACGAGGAGAACUCAGCACUUUGUGGUAUGCCUUUAUCUAAGAAAUGUGGAGCUGUGCGGUCACCCAUCCCUUUGCCACCUGAUGAUGAUGAUGAUGACGAUUCUUAUGAGUUUCCCAGUGGAGUUGAUUGGGUGGUCAUAUUUACGGGAUUUGGAAGUGGACUUGUAAUUGGGUUGGUUAUUGGAAAUAUUUUAACCAACAGGCACCAUGAAUAGUUUGUCAAGAAAUUUGGACGUCAGAUCACAUGGAGUUAAAGAAACGUAAGUAUGUUCGUUGUAGAUGGGUUUUGGCGUGGUUUGUUGGAAGAACCAAGGAAAUGAUUAAUUUUCUAGUCGUAGCUAGCUAGUAAUGGUGUAAUAUUAUAUAUGGUUGUGUGUGUGUAUAUAUAUAUAUAGAUAUAUAUGUUCUAGCUGGAUUUAUAUAUGGUUUCGGUUGAAUAAUCAAGGAAUAGAUUUUCCUGGAGCGUGCGUGUGAUAGUGGUAGUUAUUUUGAUGUAUUAAAGUAUAUUUAUGCUAUUUAGCCUUUCACAACUACGCUUCAUAUGCUAUGCUUUUAUGGUUUAAAUAAUCAUCAUACAAUUACAAUUACAAUUUCUUCUUUAUUAAUUGUCAAAUCAUACUUAUGUGUGGAACAAGUUUAAAAGCUUAAUCUAGCUAAAGUUUUGGAUAUUUCAGGGUGCAUCGUAUAUAUAUCAUUUUCAAAUUGUUAAAAGUUUGAUUACCCUCUCCGUAGUCCGUAUUGAAUGUGUACUAAUCAAUUUUCAUCUUGUGGAGUUCCAAACUGCAAACAUAAUUAAGAAUAUGCCUCGCAUUCUUAUGGGGAAUUGACUAAUCUAUGUUGUUUGUCAUACGUAUCUCUCCCUUCUUCCUCGGAUCAGAUCUUACGAAUUACAUAGCACAAGUACCUCCAAAUUCCAAUAUUAAACCGUGAAAACUUUAUAUGUCAAGGCUAGUGCUUAAUACUAUGUCCUUAAGACAAUUAUGCCCUCCUUAUCGGUGCUUAGAGUUAUGGACACUUGUUUCCUAGGAUAUAAUGACAACGUAUGCUAUAACAGCACUACAAAUAGCGCACACAACGAACCAAAUCAAAUAUUUUGAACUCUCUUAAAUAUACUAUAAUAUGACUUAUGAAAUGAUGAAUGACUUAAGACUUGAAUGACUUGAACUGAAAAUGGAAUUGAAUUUGAAUGCUCCAAAUGGUUGCCUCCAUAUGACUUAGUGAUCAGAUGUGAAACGACCCUUGCGAACCGAUAGAACACGAAUGAAAAGACAUAAACCCAUAUGUAAUGUGUGGUUAUGAUGUUAUUUGCCUAUUUUUUAUCCAUAACAAAUACAUAAUAUAGAUCAUUUCCCUAUAUACAUAUAUUUUAUGUUUAUAUCUUUGAAGAUUCUUCAAUAAAUCAAUUAAGGUGUCUCAUUAAUUAUCAGUCCCGCGGUGGGAUAAUAGUGACUUUUGUGGAAGCCAAUUAAUUCCGCCAUCAUUUCGUCCACACAUUAAGCAAUCAGCUUGAACAAGUCGAAGCAAGCUGUGAUGAAUAUUAGUAAUUAAAAGAUUGAGAGAGAAACAGACUGACUAAUUAAAAGCAGCAGCUCACAUUCAUAUUUUUUUUUAAUUAACACAAUUUUAAUUCUUUAAUAGGGUAAAACGUAUUCCUUUGUGUUAAUUUGUGACACUUUUUACGUACGUACAUUAUAUACACACCUAUAGUUUCUUAGAUUAAUUUUCAGCAGAAUAAAUGUUUAGAGUGUGAAUUUUUUGGGUUUAAAUGUGUCUCGUAUCAUCACUAUAUUGACUACUCAAAAUUUUGUAAUAUUUAUAUUUGACGGGAUCAGCUCCUUCACCUAUACGUACAUAAUGGAACCAUCAUGUGAAACUACAUCCACACAAUCCAAACAGCAACUUAGUCCAGAAAUGGACACCUUUCCCAAAUAAUUGUACUGGAAUAAGUACCAUUUUCUCCUGUUUUUGGCUGCAUGCAUGCAUAGCUCCAUCUUCUACUCGUUUGGAAGCGUUAACGUUAAGAUUCGUUCACGCGUCUUUAUCAUCAAAAACGCGUCCAAUUCUACACAGAAACGAAAUCACACGAAAAAGCUUGACAGUCUGGACCGUCCGGAGAUAACUCCGGUAUAAAAAUAAGUACAGGUUGAACAAGGACGUUUAACAAUAAAGAUAUUUAGUGCUGAAAAAUAAUAGAUUUUGUGUGUACCUGAGAAUCAGGGUACUAUAGUCUUGUAUUUAUAAUGAUCAAUACAGUGCUGACACGCAGAGAGAGAUGACCUCCCACCUGCGUGUUGACACUAUAUUGGUCAAUUGACCAAAGUUAACCUCAUGCUAAUUAACCACUCCCAAAAAAUUUCUAUCUUCACAUAUUCUAAUUCAAUCAAUCAACAUACGCCUAGUCAAUGGGAUUUGAGUGACUUCUGUGGAAGCAAUUAACUUCGAUCGUAUGCAAAUUAACAUUUAGCAAUCAGUUAUAGUAGAGAUAGUCAGCUCGACUAAAUACGCAACCAAUUAGUCCAUAAAUGGACACUUUUUGCAAUUGUGGAAUAUAUAUAACCAUGCAUUUUCUUUAUCUUGUAAUUCAAUUUAACGUUUGUGGUCCAUCGUCUCCAUUGUUUUUGGCUUCAUCUCCUACUAGUACUUCUUCUGAAAAGUCCAUGAAGAUUGGACAAAUUAUUAUAUAAUGUUGUAGUGUUUGAAAGAAGAAAAACAAAUAAAUGUACUACAUAUUUUAUUUUCACCCGGCCUUUGAAGUAUAUUAACGUGUAUAAAAAAUUUAAAAACAUUAACUUUAUUUUAAUUGUAGAGUAAAAUGCAAGCAGCAAUCAGUGGAGCUACUGUGUUUAUCAUUAUUAGCUAAGCAAAUUAAAUUUUUUUUAAAAAAAAAUAAUUAAUUACCAGCAGUACUCAGGCAAACUCUUUAUUUUAUCUGCACGCAUGCAUGUAUUAAUUAAUGAUCAUGAAUCUUAAAUUAUUUAAUUAGGUCUCCACAAUAAAGAAAAUCAACAAAGACUUUGCUAUCCAUGGACAGGUCAUGCAGAAAAACAAACAAAAAUAUGCAUCUUCAAAGAUAUCUCAAUCAAUCAAGGUACACCGCAUAAGCCGUCAUUGGGAUUUGAGUGACUUCUGUGGAAGCAAAUAACUUCCAUCAUAUCCAAAUUAACAAUUAGUAGCAAUUCAUUUGUUAUAGUAGAGACAGACAGUUUGACUAAAAUCAACUCAUAUUUUUAUUUUUAUUUUUAUUUUUGUUUUGUUUUUGGGAAAACAUAUUCUUGAGUACCCGUUUAGGGGAGUUGUACAUAAUGACUACAAAAAUUAUAUAUAAAAAAAGUUUAAAUAAUAUUUGGUUACACAAUUAUAAAAGUCCUUUUAAAGGCAUUAAUAAUAAAUUUAAGGUAAUUAUAUAUGCGAUAUGCAAUUUUAUUUUAUUUUAACAAGUUAAGAAUAAUUUAUAUUUUUUGUCAAAAAUACUUCAGCCAAAAGGCAAUUUUCAUGCUUCGAAUAUUGAAAGUGCUUUUGAACUCAAAUUUCCACUCUUUAAAAAUGUAUUUGUAAAUUUACCAAAUAUCAAAAUAUUUUUAUUUUUAAUUUAAAAAUGCAUUUACUCCAUCCAAAAACUCCCCACACGGGCUCCAAGUCUUUCUACCUUUUUUUAUGACAAAAUUACUUAACUACCACAAAAUUUAUAAAUUACCACAUCGUUGCAGUUUAUUUGUCACCCCCUUCAUGUAUAGACUACCUGAUUUUUUAUAUUAAAUUAAAUUAAAAAAUAAAUUAGAAAGAGAGGACUUCUUGAAAUAGACUUUGUCAACCUUGGGACUACCUGAUUGAUCAGUAAUUAUGUGGAAGUCGAUCAAUCUUACCCCUUCCGUUCUUUUAGAAAAAAAAAAUUGUUCAAAUUUAUUUGUCGUUUAUAAUUUUUUAGGUAAAUAAAUUAUUUACUUUCCUAUAUCACUCAUACCUUUUCUUAUUGUCCCAAGAAAUUUUCUCCCUUAUAUUAAUAGUUUUCAACUUUUCAUAAAAGGAUAGUGAUGAAAUUUUAAAAAAAAUUUAAUUGUUAAAUGAUACUAAUAUUAAAUGAUUUUCUUAAUUCAUGUGCAAAAAUUUUAAACGAUAAUCUUUUAGGAACGGGGGUAAUAUCAUUUUCUCAAUCAGCUUGAAAAGUUGAAGCCUUGAUUGUCGGAGUCAUUACAAUAGUAGACACACAUUUCUUAUCUGUUUAUUUUUAUUUUUAUUUUUUUUGAAAUAAUGUAGUCAACUCAGCAAUGUAUCAACACACAUUUCUUAUCUGCUUUGGCCUCUUAUCAAUUGUAUAACAUGAUUUUAUUCUCCAUGCAUGCAUGUAUCCUUUUGUAGUUUUUUUAUGUAUAUACAUCUUUGAAGAUUCUUCAAUAAAUCAAUUAAUUCCAUCAUAUCCACACAUUAAGCAAUCAGCUUGAACUAGUUGAAGCAAGCUGUGAUUAAUUAAUAAUUAAGAGAGAGAGAGAGAGAGAGAAACAGACUGACUAAUUAAAAGCAGCAGCUUACAUUCAUAAUUUUUUUUAAUUAACACAUCUUUAAUUCUGUAAUAGGAUAAAACUUAUUCCUUUUUGUUAAUUUAUGACACUUUCUAUGUACGUACUUCCUCCGUCCCUAUUUAAAUGACGUUUUAAAAAUGUGCACAAUCAUUAAAAUAUCGAACUAAAAAGUAGCACCAAUAUUCAAUUAAUAGUACUUCCCAUUAAUCCUAUGGGGAGGUGUCUACGUUAACUACUUUUGCCUUAUAUAUAGAGCUCCUCACUAACUAUGAAAUGUUCACGGGCCAGAAAAAGCUUAAGCAAAGUUAACAAAUACUACUAUACUACAUACAACAUAACAUGGCUGCCCCAUACUUGUAUGCAUUAUGCUUCACCCGAUCCCUUUUGAUAUUCCUCCUAUUCACAAUUAUGAUGUUGAAUAACAACUCAUACUCCUCUGUUGAACCUCCUCCUCGAAUGUGCCACCAGGAUGAGAGCACCGCCUUGUUAAAGUUCAACCAAAGCCUUUCACUUGACCAGUCCGCCUCUGGGGAUCUUUCUGCUUAUCCAAAGACUGGAUCCUGGAAGCUUAUAACUAAAGGAGGAGAAAUUAGUGAUUGCUGUUCAUGGGAUGGAGUUGAGUGCGAUAACCACACCGGUCACGUGAUCGGCCUCGACCUCAGUAGUAGUUUUCUAUAUGGUCCGAUCACUGCCAACAGCAGUAUCUUUAGCCUUGUUCACCUUCAGAGCCUAAACCUUGGUGACAAUAACUUUAUCCGCUCUCAAAUCCCACCUGAAAUUUCUUUUCUUUCAAGUUUAUCCAGUCUUAACCUCUCAAAGUCUGCAUUUUCGGGCCAAAUCCCUUCUGAAUUAUUGAGAUUGUCUAAAUUGACUUCCCUUGAUCUUUCAUACAACAAGUUGUAUGGUGAAUUUCCAGGAGGCAUUUUCCAUCAACCAGACCUGCUUUUUCUUAAAGUGAGUUACAAUAGAAAUAUCACUGGUUAUUUGCCAGAGUUUAACCAAAGUAGCUCCUUGAAGGAUCUGAGAAUUUCUGGCACGAAUUUCUCGGGUAAACUGCCAGUCUCGAUUGGAAAUUUGAAAGCCUUGAAUUCAUUGGUCCUCUCUGAAUGCUAUUUCUCAGGAUCAAUUCCGGCUUCAUUAGGUAACUUGACCCAACUCACUCGUUUAUAUCUUUUCUCUAAUAACUUUAAUGUAGGGAAACUGUCAUGGAUUGGCAAGCUUACUAAACUCAUUUGGCUGAACGUCAGAGAUACCAAUCUCUAUGGUGAGAUCCCAUCAUCUCUUGCAAACCUAACCCAACUUACUGAGCUUCAAAUUGGGAAUAACAAUUUCUAUGCUGGUGAAAUUCCAUCCUGGUUGAUGAACAUGACCCAGUUAAUCUGGAUAGAUAUAUCACAUAGCCAACUGCAAGGCCAGAUUUCAAGCUCGUUCUCCCAAUUCAACAACCUUGAUACUCUUUAUCUUAAUCAUAAUAACCUCAGUGGUACAGUAGACGCAGAUAUUUUUCUCAACCUCAAGAAACUAACAAAUUUGAUGUUAUCAUUUAACAAGAUAUCAUUUCUCACCAAACCUCGUCACAUAAAUUCCACUCUUCCACAACUUCAGAUUUUAGGUUUGUCUUUUUGCAACUUAAGCGAGAUCCCACAUUUUUUGCAAUUUCAAAAUCAACUGGAGGUAUUAUACCUUGGCUUCAACAAAAUUCAUGGCCAAAUACCACAAUGGAUGUGGAACAUAAGUGAAACACUGGAGUCGAUUGAUCUUUCUAACAAUUCCCUAACGGGAUUUGAACAAAAUCCAAUUGUACUUCAAGGUGUUGGUUUACGCUUUUUAUUCCUCGACCGCAACAUGCUGCAAGGAAAUCUUCCAGUUCCACCACCAAAUACUGUUUCUUACGACGUCUCAAACAACAGACUAACUGGAAAUAUUCCGCCAUUGAUUUGUCGUGCGAGCUCUCUCCUUUGGCUUGAUUUGUCAAACAACAACAUGAGUGGAGCAAUUCCUCAGUGUCUGGUCAAUUCUUUGAUGAUACUGAAUCUCAAAUCUAACAACUUUUCUGGUACCAUUCCUCGAGUAUACACGAGAGAAUGCAACUUGAAGAUGAUGGACUUGAGUCAAAAUCAAUUAAAGGGGCAGUUACCAAGAUCUUUGGAAAAUUGUAAAAUGUUCCAGGUUCUCGAUCUAGCAGAUAAUCAGAUGGAAGACACUUUCCCCUUUUGGUUGGGAGCUCUUCCGAAACUGCAAGUUCUGAUUUUGCGAUCCAACAAAUUCCAUGGUGAAAUAGGGAGUCCUCGUAUCACUUCAGAGUUCUCAAUGCUGCGUAUCGUUGAUCUCUCUAACAAUUCUUUUACUGGUGAUUUGCCACUCGAGUACAUUCAGAGCUGGAAGGCCAUGAAAGUUGUCCACGUAGACUUGCUGACAUUUAUGCAGACAACAACAUUUUCUCAAAUCAACUCCGUUGGGUUUACAGAUGGUUAUACGUACUCGAUUACAAUUACAAACAAAGGUGUGAAGACAGAGUAUGUGAAGAUUUUAAAUAUCUUCUUCGCGGUUGAUCUUUCAAGCAACAAGUUCAUCGGGGAAAUUCCAGAAUCUGUUGGAAGUCUUAAAGGGCUUCAGUUGCUCAACCUUUCAAACAAUCAUCUUACUGGUCCCAUUCCAUCUUUCCUCGGGAACCUGACAAACCUUGAAUCACUGGACCUUUCUCGGAACAAGCUCUCAGGAGUGAUCCCUCAGCAAUUUGUACAAGAACUAAAUUUCCUUGCAUUCUUAAAUGUCUCUAAUAACCUGCUCAGUGGGCCCAUACCACAAGGGGGGCAAUUUGCUACAUUUGAGAACAAUUCUUACGAGGAGAACUCAGCACUUUGUGGUAUGCCUUUAUCUACGAAAUGUGGAGCUGUGCAAUCACCCAUCCCUUUGCCACCUGAUGAUGAUGAUGAUGACGAUUCUGAUGAGUUUCCCAGUGGAGUUGAUUGGGUGGUCAUAUUUGCCGGAUUUGGAGGUGGACUUGUAGUUGGGUUGGUUUUUGGAAAUAUUUUAACCAACAGGCACCAUGAAUGGUUUGUCAAGAAAUUUGGACGUCAGAGAAAGCAGAUCACAUGGAGUUAAAGAAACGUAAGUUUGUUCGUUGUAGAUGGGUUUAGGCGUGGUUUGUUGGAAGAACCAAGGAAAUGCUUUUCUAGUCGUAGCUAGCUAGUAAUGGUGUAAUAUUAUAUAUGGUUGUGUGUGUGUGUGUGUAUAUAUAUAUAUAUAUAUAUAUAUAUAUAUAUAUAUAUAUGUUCUAGCUGGAUUUAUAUAUGGUGGAUCUAUUAGUCUUAGAAGACACUAAGACUAAUAGAGUAUUGUUGUAUGUGAUAUGCAUGGUAGCCAUUCUUAUGUAUUAAAGGAUUAUAUCUCCUUGGUUUAGCCUUUCAUAGCUAGGGUUUCUAUCUUCUGUUUUUUUUAAUAAUCAUAAAAAAUCACAAUUCCUUCUUUAUUAUCAAUUCCCAGUUU
rnacentral:lncRNA from 1 species